GAAGAGAAGCUGCGCUGUCCGGCUGCAGGAGGAACGUUCUGCCUGAAAACUCAUCCUAAAUGUCUAAAACAAAGUAAAAUGAUCAGAAUCCACAGCGAGUCGAACCCACAGAGUUCAUGGGUGAUGAUACAAGCUCGGCGGUCAAGUUUUUUUGAGAGGAUUUGAUUCGGUGACACUUGAUGUCGGAAGAGAGGACAUCAGCGACACCAUUAGUCGACGCUAGAGAGAGAGAGAGGAUACCAGCACUGGAUAGCCACCAGGCGGCUUCCAGAUACCUGUUGGAUCAACGGAUCCAGAGAACCAGAUGGCGAGCCGGAACAGAGGAAUGCAGGACCACUGAACUUACCUCCCAAACCUGCGGUGUGGUAGGACAGUGAGCUACACAGAGAUUAAAGGGCCCCAACGAAAUAAAACCACUGAGCUCAUAACAAAGAAAGAAAAGACGAUACAGAUUGAACACAACACUAUUAUUUAUUUUCUUUUAUUUUGCGCGCAGUUUGUUAUUUUUCUUAUUCUAUUGAUAUUGUUGUCAUAUUGUUCUGUUGUUGACCAACAAUAUAUUUUGGAAACUAAAACUUGUGUGAGUGUGUUCAAUGUUGUUGUUCCAUCCUGGGCUCCAUGAGCGUUAACUUUAGACUUCUGAUGACUAGUCCAAACUGAACAGAAACUGAAACCAAAUAUUAGCACAUGUAACUUUAUUAGACAAACAGGGGUUACACAACCACAACCAAAUUCACUCUAUCCGGAUGGAGCAAUUUAACUGGAUAGUUUUUUUUAAAGGCCAAAAUGAAAUAAGCUGUUUUUAAAAUGUAAGGAGUGCUAUGAGGAGGGCUAGGGAGUAAGAGGACAGCUGAAGGGCCAGGGGUAUGAGGUAGCAAGAGGAAGGCUUGGUGGCGUCAGGAAGGUUGAGAAGGGCUUGGGUGGUUAGGUAGGAGAAGGGCAAGGGGGGCCAGGAAGGAUGAGGUGUAAGAGGGGGCAUGAGGUAAGAAGGGAGGCAGGCUAGGUAGUAGUGCUUGGUGGAUCAGGUGAUAGGGCCUUUUACAAAUCAAAGCUUUGAAUUACUUUCUUACCUCCUACCUUCCUGACACCCCCCCAAGCUGUCUUUCCUCAUGUCCCUAGCCCACCUCUUAAACCCUGAUCCCCCUUGCCUUUCUCAUCUAGUCCUCCUGACCCCCCUAGGCCUCUUCAUCCUACCUGGCCCCUGCUCAUCCUACCUGACCCCUGCUCAUCCUACCUGACCCCCCUAGCCCUCCUCAUCCUACCUGACCCCUCCUCAUCCUACCUGACCCCUCCUCAUCCUACCUGACCCCUCCUCAUCCUACCUGACCCCCCCAAGGCCUCCUCAUCCUACCUGACCCCCCUAGCCCUCCUCAUCCUACCUGACCCCUCCUCAUCCUCCUACCUGACCCCUCCUCAUCCUACCUGACCCCUCCUCAUCCUACCUGACCCCUCCUCAUCCUACCUGACCCCCCUAGCCCUCCUCAUCCUACCUGACCCCCCUAGCCCUCUUCAUCGUACCUCAUCCCCCUAGCACUCCUAACCUCUCAUCCUCCCUGAUCCCUCUACCCCUUCAGAUACUGAGGAUGGGGAGGGUUUGAACCAGCAUGCACCACCCUUUCAUUGGCACCUUAUAGCCAUGAGCAAACCCUCCACACCACCAGUAUCCUUGGGGGGAAGACAUCUCUCUUAGUGCAUUUAUCUUUUCAUUUUUAGCGUUGAACUCUAAAAGUGGAUUUUGUGCUACUUAAAGUCAACGGGGUAAAGACCUCUGGCGGGAAUUGAACUCUCAGUCUCUUUACCAAUGUGCAACUUUUUACCAUGAGGCCCCACAUUGCCUCUUGCCUCUUUCCCAGGCUUCCUGGCAUGUUUUCAAUCGUCAGUAGAAGGACGUAAUUUUAAAAGUGGUCCAGGUAUAAGGUCUGAUGCCUCUACCUCACCAGAUUGUGAGGAUGGGGAGGGUUUGAACCAGCAUGCACCACCCUUUCAUUGGCACCUUAGAGCCCUGAGCAAACCCUCCACACCACCAGUAUCCUUGAGGGAAGACAUCUCUCAUUGUGUAUUUAUCUUUUCAUUUUGAGUGUUGAACUCUAUAAGUGGAUUUAGUUCUACUUAAAGACAACUGGAUGAAGAAGUCCGGCGGGAAUUGAACUCACAGUCUGUUUAACAAUGUGCAGCACUCUUCCAUGGUGCACAACAUACUUCCUCCUUUGCAGGCUUCCUGGCCAUUUUUCAGUCCUCAGUUGAAGGACAUAACUUAAAAAGUGGUCCAAUUAUAAGGUCUGAUGCCUCCAGAUACUGAGGAUGGUUUGAACCAGCAUGCACCACCUUUUCAUUGGCGCCUUAAAGGCGUGAGCAAACCCUCCACACCACCAACUAGACUCAGACAGAAGAAAUCUCUCAUAUAGCGCAUUUAACUUUUCAGUUUGUGUGUUGAACUCUAAAAGUGGAUUUUGUGCUACUUAAAGUCAACAGGCUGUAGACCUCUGGCAGGAAUUGAACUCUCAGUCUCUUUAACAAUGUUCAGGUCUUUACCAUGAGGCCCCACAUUCUUGCCUCUUUCCCAGGCUUCCUGGCCAGUUUUCAAUCGUCAGUAGAAGGACGUCAAUUUUAAAAGUGGUCCAGGUAUAAGGUCUGAUGCCUCUACCUCUCCAGAUAGUGCGGGUUUGAACCAGCAUGGGCCACCCUUUCAUUGGCACCUUAAAGCCCUGAGCAAACCCUCCACACCACCAGCAUCCUUGGGGGAAGCCAUCUCUCUUAGUGCAUUUAUCUUUUCAUUUUGUGUGUUGAACUCUAAAAGUGGAUUUGUGCUAGUUAAAGUCAACGGGCUGAAGACCUCUUGCAGGAAUUGAACUCAGAGACUCUUUAGCAAUGUACAGCUCUUUGCCUCUUUCCCACGCUUCCUGGCCAGUUUUCAAUCGUUAGUAGAAGGACGUCAUUUUAAAAGUGGUUCAGGUAUAAGGUUUGGUCCAAUAACUUCUGCAUUAAAAGCCUAUUUGUUCCAAGAUGAGCUACACCAGGACACAGGUUUAACUGCACUGAAAACUUUUUAUCUUUUGUCCUUUGUUUCAAGCUUUCAAAAUGUUCAACAUGUUAAAGAACAUGUUGAAGAGGGCACUGAACCUCAACACAAGGUACUCCUAUUUAAAUAAAAAAAAAACUGACUAGUUCUCACAUUCAAUAUUUGACAGAGCAUUCCUUGGCGUAAUUUUCAAUUACGUAACAAAUCCGUAUUUCAAGGGACGGGUGGCAAGCCUAUCUCCAUCUCUUCCUGUGAACAAACUGCUACACCAGCGGGGGUACCUGAUUACUGGCUGGAUAAACGUGUUUAUGGGCCAGACUUUGUUCUUCCCAUUAGCUGGCCCGUCAGGAUCAGCAUUACUCUUUUCAAGUAUUUGGUUGUUGCCGACUUCAUCACAUCCUCCUCGUACUUGCUAUUUGUUUUGCAGAAUCCAAAUGUAUUUGUAAGUGUUCUAAACAUCUGAUACAUUGCUGUCUGGGUUUUAGUUCACCUCCUAAUUCGAUUGUAAUCAUUUUGCCCCUCUUUGAUAUUAUAUGAGCGCAUUUAUUGAGCCUGAAUAACAUUGCAAUAUCUUUGUUGGGUGAAUCAGUGAGUCAAUGUCUCCCUUGCCCUUAGCAUCCAACCUGAUGUCAUCCACGUAAAAGGAGGUGACUAAGGUUGCUCUGAGAAGUGGGUGAGCCCCAUCUAUUAGCGUCUGGUUCAUUUGUGCUGCUAAGCAUUCAUGAGGUUAGUCUCCUCAGCCAGUAGGUGAGAUUCAUGUCAGGGCCCGGCGCUGUCCAAGGCUUUAUCCUUGAGACCCAUUCAUCCAUUUUCUAUACUUCUUUAAUCUUGUACAGGGUCAUGGGGGUCUGCUGGAGCCUUUCCCAGCUCAUUACAGGGGCAAAGCAGCGGUAGACCCUUGACACGUUGCCGGUGUAUCACACUACUUUACAUAAGACCCUUUCGUCCAAAUCGUCAUUCCAAUACCAUUCAUGAACAAAACAUACAUUUUAUUAUUGUAGUGUCAGUUAGUUGUAUUGAGAGGAUUGUUGCAGACUGGAACCUGUAUACCAGCUUUAGUUGAUGCAUGGUGUAGGGGUGUAACGGUACCUGUUUUUGUACUGGACCCUAACAGUAUUGACGUGACCAUUUGGUGUAUGCAAUCAGACAAAAAAUAUAUGAGUUAGUCAAAAGGUAAUUCACACACCAAUCCACAAGAGUUCUGCAUUAUAUUUCACCGCUGUUUACCACCAACAAACUGACAACAGCAAUGAAUGCGCCAUUUCGAAACUCAAUGACCUGCCUCCCUCCAAUCAGCAGUGUGGGAAGGUUUUGCAUUCCCUGUCAUCUACUAAAAUGAUGCAAGAAACUUUGUUAAUGCUGUCAGUGAAGCAGCAUUAGGUCCACAUAUUGGAUGCUUUGUCCAUACUUUGAAUGUCCCGUCACAGAAAGGAAUUGUUGUCCAGUUAUCUCGACUACUGAGUAAAAUUAGAACUGUUGCCGUUUACAUGGGAAUAAAGCAUGAUAUGCUUCACUUGCAAAAACACUGUCUCGUACAUGAUGUGAAGGAACUCCAGCUAUGAGAUGGUUGAGCGAGAUCUUGAGCAUAAAUCUGCAAUUUAUUCAGCAUUAGCAGAAAGGGCCCUGAAAAACAAUGAUAUUGCAAAUCUGACUGUUUACGAACUGAGUGUUGCAGAGAGUGUGUUUGAAGUUGUGAAGCCUUUGAAGAUUUAAUUAAUUUCCCUUCGGGAAUCAAUAAAGUUAUUUGAGUCAAAUUUAAUUGAAAACAAUCAUUACAACACUUUCUGUAGCACUCAAACAACACCAUCAGUGUCCACGAUUUUACCAUUUAAAAGAAUGAUCUUGAAUCCAUGAAAAAAACUGAUGAUGACACUUCUGUCGUCAUGGAAAUCAAGCUGGCCAUGACGGAAAGUCUGCAAACUAGAUAUCCUGACUGUGCCUUUGAAGACUUCAUUCACAAAUGCUCUGCACUUGAUGCAUUUGAUCCAUACCUUUCCUCAUCUGGAUCCAGCCGUUCAUCUGAGAAUUUAAAUACAUCUCCUCAUCACAGAAGUUCUUAGCAAAGCUGAACUGGUAUACAAUUACAACUGGUAGGCUCUUUUACAGACGUUUGACUGAAGUUUGAACAUUUCAACAGAGAUUACAACUAUUUCUGCAGUGUUCACCCAACUUCUUGCUAUUUGUCACAGUACUGUAGGAUGAGAGGCUACAAAGCCUCUGAUCCUACAGUCCUCAUUGUGUCUCUGUGGUCACAGUCCAUCAGCAUGACCACAGAGACACAGGUGACAUAUUUCCCUCCCCCUGAGAAGUCAACCAUGGAAGAAUUAUUUGGCCCACUCUUCCAAACUGGUAAGAAAAAAACAGCCUCAGCAGUUAAAGGAUGAAGUCGACGCCUACGUGGCAAGAGUGUAUUUUAGUCGACUGCAACCCGGUUGCCUGGAGCAAGGCUCAGGAGACUGUUUAUCUCAAUCUAGCCCAACUGGCAACAUGUUACCUGGCAACACCAGCAACAUUGCUGCUUAGAGAGAGGAUUUGCUCGACAACAGGUGAUAUAGUUACUUCCACCAGAUCUGCACUCACCACUGACAAUGUGGACUUGAAAGUGGACAGAGUAUUUAACAAUGACUCACAAGUUAAUCACAAAUGUAAAACAAUUCUCAGUCACGCAGAUUUGAACUUUCUUUAAUUUUGUGUUUUCUCUCUCUUUGGUGAUGUUAUUCAGUUCUGCUUUUAUUUUUAGAUUGCACCAGCCAUGUUUGUUAAAGGUAUUGUGACAUCAUUUUUAACAUGCUUUUAACACUAUUAAAAGUCUUGGCCAACAUCCCUCAAAUGUGUCUAAAAGAGUGUAACAAGAAAAACUUCAAUCUAGUACUCUUUUCCUGGCUUUUUAUUACAGUGAUUUUUUGCGCCGUGAAAAAUGCUUCCUUUCCCCCCUUUCCUGUCAAUCAUUGCUCCGCUCCUCCUCCCAACCUCCUCCUCCUCCAGCCAUACGCUCACAGCGGCGUCGGAGCGACAGGCGAAGCAUGCACGGAAAAGCAGGAGGGCGAACCACAGCAAACAAUCAUAAAAAUAAAGGCAUGCAAGCAGCACUGUCCCCUUAUCUUAAGUCCAGUCAGUGGCCGCGGGUCUUCUUAGCAGUUUUCCUCCGGUGAUUAGAACAAAAGAGGCUCUAAACAGCUCCGUGUUAAGCCUCAUUUAUGGCUCUGCGUCGGUGUAACGCGGAACCAUAAAUCAGCCUUUAUGGUGCACUGGAGAGGAGAGGAGACAGGGAGCUGGGUGGAGGGGGCGGUGAUUUGGCGGGCCGUUACGUAACGGCCCGCCACCAAACCACAUGCGCCGUUUUUGCAUAGUUAUGCGGAAAAUCCCAGAAAGCACACAAUACACUGAAUGUUAAAAGUUCGUUGUUUUUUGGGUGUAAUUGAUGUCAAGACACCCAACAAAACACAAAAAAUCAAGAAAAAUGUGUUUUUCAUGUCACAAUCCCUUUAAGUAAUUUUGAAGUAUUUUCCAAAUUGAUAAUAGGGAUGAUUUUCAGUUAUUGUUUAAGUGAUUGUUUGACAGCAAGCAUAGCAUAAAAAUGUAGCUUCUUAAAAGUUGUUUCUUAGUUCAAUGUUAUGCAUAAUACUGCAUAUAAAAAGAAAAUGCUGUUUAAGUUCAUUAUUAUUUUUAUUUCUAUUUAAUAUCUGCACUGCUAACUUAUCAGUUGGCGGUUAUCAUGUUAUACACUUGGCCUUGUACAGUUUGUGUACUGUUGAUUAUAAAUGAAAAGAAGCCAAGUAUAUGUGAUCUUUUUUUUUUCUGGUUGUACCAGAUUUGUAUCGAACUGAGUCCCUAAAACCGAGGUACCUAUCAAGCCUGAGGUCUGUGAACCAUUACUGUCACGGUUUCUGGGUUUGUUUGUUCUGGUUUUAUUUUCAAUGUCCUUGUUUUAGUUCUUCCCCUUGUUCUUCUGCCAUGACUGUUUGCAACUAUAUCUUGUCAGCCCUUUCUGAUUCGGUCUAGUUUUGGCUUUGAGUUUGAUUCUUUUGAGAUUCCUGGUUAUGCAGAGCUUUUUGUUAAUAAAAUACCUUUUGUUUAGA